ACGCCGGCGGUUCGCCGCCGGUGACGGUUGUGAGAAGUUUAUCGAACCUUAUCAUUUAGAGGAAGGAGAAGUCGUAACAAGGUUUCCGUAGGUGAACCUGCGGAAGGAUCAUUG
rnacentral:rRNA from 1 species